rnacentral:rRNA from 1 species
AGAGUUUGAUCAUGGCUCAGGACGAACGCUGGCGGCGUGCUUAACACAUGCAAGUGGUGCGACGAACCAGGGCUUGCCCUGGGGCCAAGCCGCGAACGGGUGAGUAACACGUGAGUAACCUGCCCCGAUGAUUGGGACAACCCGAGGAAACUCGGGCUAAUACCGAAUGUGGCGCACAAUCGUAAGUUUGUGCGCUAAAGGAAGCUUCGGCCUCCGCAUUGGGAGGGGCUCGCGGCCCAUUAGCUUGUUGGUGGGGUAACGGCCUACCAAGGCAACGAUGGGUAGCUGGUCUGAGAGGACGAUCAGCCACACUGGGACUGAGACACGGCCCAGACUCCUACGGGAGGCAGCAGUGGGGAAUCUUGCGCAAUGCGCGAAAGCGUGACGCAGCAACGCCGCGUGGGGGAAGACGGCCUUCGGGUUGUAAGCCCCUUUCAGGAGGGACGAAGGUUCACCGGUUAAUAGCCGUGUGGAUUGACGGUACCUCCAGAAGAAGCUCCGGCUAACUCCGUGCCAGCCGCCGCGGUAAUACA